UACGGAGGAUGCGAGCGUUAUCCGGAUUUAUUGGGUGUAAAGGGUGCGUAGACGGGAAGGCAAGUUGGUUGUGAAAUCCCUCGGCUUAACUGAGGAACUGCAACCAAAACUAUCUUUCUUGAGUGCUGGAGAGGAAAGUGGAAUUCCUAGUGUAGCGGUGAAAUGCGUAGAUAUUAGGAGGAACACCAGUGGCGAAGGCGACUUUCUGGACAGUAACUGACGUUGAGGCACGAAGGCCAGGGGAGCGAAAGGG
rnacentral:rRNA from 1 species